CCUACGGGAGGCAGCAGUGAGGAAUAUUGGUCAAUGGACGAGAGUCUGAACCAGCCAAGUAGCGUGAAGGAUGACUGCCCUAUGGGUUGUAAACUUCUUUUAUAAAGGAAUAAAACGAGGCACGUGUGCCUUUUUGCAUGUACUUUAUGAAUAAGGAUCGGCUAACUCCGUGCCAGCAGCCGCGGUAAUACGGAGGAUCCGAGCGUUAUCCGGAUUUAUUGGGCUUAAAGGGAGCGUAGAUGGGUUGUUAAGUCAGUUGUGAAAGUUUGCGGCUCAACCGGAAAAUUGCAAUUGAUACUGGCAGUCUUGAGUACAGUUGAGGUAAGCGGAAUUCGUGGUGUAGCGGUGGAAUGCUUAGAUAUCACGAAGAACCCCGAUUGCGAAGGCAGCUUACUAAACUGUGACUGACAUUGAUGCUCGAAAGUGUGGGUAUCAAACAGGAUUAGAUACCCGGGUAGUC
rnacentral:rRNA from 1 species